ACCCUUUAAAAAGGAAAAGGAAGAGAUGGAAAAGGAAGAGAAUUGAUUCUCUGAGCUGCAGUGAGGGUGAACUGGUUGUUUCAUGUCACUGGGGAAAAUGCAGUGCUCUGCUUCUGUUUGUUGCUCCUCGUUGAAAAGCAGCGCUCGUUAGCGAGGGUUUCUGUGGCUUCUUGAAGAAGACCAACAUAGAUGCAGCCUGACCGGUUACCAGCCGUGUGACAGCUCAGAGAUGUGAUGGAUCAUCACUUGCUAAUGUGGCUUUAUCAAGUAGGAAGAUUGCAGGGAAGUGGAGUUCUCCAGUUUCCAGUUCCAUUGUGUGGAAAAGGGCACACUGAGGGAGACCUCCUGCCUGUGCGUGGUUGCCGAGCCAAAAUGAAAGAAACAGCUCUUUUCUCUGGGGCUAAACUGCAGCAUUAAUGAAAAAAAAUACAAUCGGA